CCUACGGGUGGCAGCAGUGGGGAAUAUUGCACAAUGGGGGAAACCCUGAUGCAGCGACAUCGCGUGAGCGAUGAAGUCCCUCCGUAUGUUAAGCCUCUUUUGCAGGGAAGAAAAUCACGGUACCUGACUAACACUCCCCGGCCCACUACGUGCCAGCAGCCGCGGAACCACGUCGGAGGCCAGCGUUAUCCGGAUUUACUGGGUGUAAAGGGUGCGUAGGCGGAAUGCCAAGUCAGCGGUAAAAUCGCGGGGCUCAACCUCGCUCCGCCGUUGAAACUGGCGUUCUUGAGUGGGCGAGAAGUAGGCGGAAUGCGUGGUGUAGCGGUGAAAUGCAUAGAUAUCACGCAGAACUCCGAUUGCGAAGGCAGCAUACCGGCGCCCAACUGACGCUGAAGCACGAAAGCGUGGGUAUCGAACAGGAUUAGAUACCCUAGUAGUC
rnacentral:rRNA from 1 species